rnacentral:misc_RNA from 1 species
UGGUUCUGGCAUCGAUGAAGAACGCAGCGAAAUGCGAUAAGUAAUGUGAAUUGCAGAAUUCAGUGAAUCAUCGAAUCUUUGAACGCACAUUGCGCUCUCCGGUAGCCCGGGGAGCAUGCCUGUUCGAGCGUCAUUUUAGACCAUCAAGCCUGGCUUGGUCUUGGGUAAUUGUCUUCCUCAGAGACAUACCCCAAAUCUGUUGGCGGCCGAGUUGUCCCCUAAGCGCAUUGGAAUUUAUUUACUUGCUUAACGGUGGACUUGUCGAGUCUUGCUACUAAUGACACAAUCUUUUCAAGGUUGACCUCGGAUCAGGUAAGGGUACCCGCUGA